rnacentral:SRP_RNA from 2 species
GCUGGGCAUGGUGGUGGGUGCCUGUAAUCCCAGCUCCUUGGGAGGCUGAGGCAGGAGAAUUGCUUGAACCCAGGAGGCGGAGGUUGCAGUGAGCUGAGAUUGUGCCACUGCACUCCAGCCUGGGCAACAGAGCGAGACUCUGUCUCAA